UCACACACAGAGCUCUUUAAUACUGGGAUCACAGGCAUUAUUAUUAAUGGGACGAUUUCCUAACUCCCUCAAUGGCCUCAUGUAGAUGAGUAACCAGGCAAAUGUCUGUGUAGCAGGCAGGUUUGCUCUUCAGGAUGAGAAACUCUGUGAACAUGUAGCCCCGAGAGCUUAGGUACCCUCAAUGAGUCAUUGGUAACGAGCAGACAAGACACAAUGCAUGGUUUGUCCAUGACUCCAAUGUCUCCCCCAACUUCACCCUCUGUAGGUAGGACAACUGAGUGGGAAGACACAUUUUUGCAACCAAGAUAAGGUUGGAAUGACUGUUGCAGUGACCCAGCAAUUCAUCAGGAAAGCAUUUUUCAGAGUCAGCAUAAUCAAGGCACGUAGAAAACCUCCAACACUACCUCUGCAUAAUGCGGACCCAUAUGAAGGAAAACAAGGUCUGAGAUGAAAACAAUAGCAAUGGAAAGAACACAUGAAGAAUGGAAGACAGAAGCAAGCUAUCCAUUGGCAUUUUGAGGAACAGCUAAUUUAUUAGAAUCCCAGGAAUCCAGAAUGGCUGAGAGAAUUAUGAGACUCUGAUCUCUGGCUUUUAGAUCACCUAUCAUACCUAUUGUUUACUGUGUAGGUGAAAAAUGUUAGAAAUAAUUGACCACUUCAUAGAGGUACAAAGGUACACAUAGACCAUUUCUUUGGAAAGGUAUCUAUGAUCUUAACUUGGGUUUUUGUAACAGUAGCCUUUGUCUUGUUGUGGAAAGACAUAGCAAGAAAGAAUUAGACAAAUUUGAGAAUAUGUGUCAAUUACCUAUAAGUUAGAAUGUUUUGGAAAUUUGGUUAAGAUAAGUUUUAGGUUUAUAUACAUGUAAAUAAUUAGGAACAUACCCUUGUAGUCAAAGGAAAUAUAAGUAUCUUCUCUUGACCAUAGGAGAUACCUGAUGGAAUACAGGAAGCCUUUAAAAAGAAGAUGGGAAGGAGUGCCCAUGCUAUUGUACAUCUGAACAAAGGGCCAUGGU
rnacentral:lncRNA from 12 species